AGUGAACGCUGGCGCUAGGCCUAACACAUGCAAGUCGAACGGCAGCACAGUAAGAGCUUGCUCUUACGGGUGGCGAGUGGCGGACGGGUGAGGAAUACAUCGGAAUCUACUUUUUCGUGGGGGAUAACGUAGGGAAACUUACGCUAAUACCGCAUACGACCUACGGGUGAAAGCAGGGGAUCUUCGGACCUUGCGCGAUUGAAUGAGCCGAUGUCGGAUUAGCUAGUUGGCGGGGUAAAGGCCCACCAAGGCGACGAUCCGUAGCUGGUCUGAGAGGAUGAUCAGCCACACUGGAACUGAGACACGGUCCAGACUCCUACGGGAGGCAGCAGUGGGGAAUAUUGGACAAUGGGCGCAAGCCUGAUCCAGUCAUACCGCGUGGGUGAAGAAGGCCUUCGGGUUGUAAAGCCCUUUUGUUGGGAAAGAAAAGCAGCAGGUUAAUACCCCGCUGUUCUGACGGUACCCAAAGAAUAAGCACCGGCUAACUUCGUG
rnacentral:rRNA from 1 species